AGAACCUAAACGAAAAUCAAGCUCCCGAUACAAGGUCGCGAACCGAAAUGUUGCCUCCUCAGAAAUCUACCUCCUCAGAUGCUGCCUGUCCUAGCACAUGAGGGAGGAAGGACUGAAGGCGUAUAUUGGUCAGGUAAUCACAGUAGCAGGUAAAGCAACGUGCGUGCAGUCUCUACAUAUCCUCCAGGGAACUUCCUGUGCUACACAAAAUAAGUCCCCAAUACAACAAUUGCCAGUAGGAAUCAAAAUUAAAGUCAGGUGAAGAUAGACACAAAAUGCUGGCGUAACUCAACGGGUCAGGCAGCAUCUCUGGAGAGAAGGAAUGGGUGACGUUUCAGGUCGAAACCCUUCAUCAGACUGGUGAUGUUUCAGAUCGAGACCCUUGAUCAGACUGACUGAGGCGAGACUGACUAACCUAAAUCUUAUACAAAAUAAUGUGAUUCAUCGUCAUACAAUAACAACUAUAGCAAUAGUGUAUUGUAUAGUAUUAUAAACUUUACAAAAAUAAAUGGAAUACAAUAAACUAAAAUUUAAUGUAACAUAUGUCUGCCUGUAUAGACCAUCUGGGGUCAAUGGCCCGUU